rnacentral:rRNA from 1 species
GACGGAGGAUGCAAGCGUUAUCCGGAAUGAUUGGGCGUAAAGCGUCCGCAGGUGGCAGUUCAAGUCUGCUGUCAAAGACCGGGGCUUAACUUCGGAAAGGCAGUGGAAACUGAACAGCUAGAGUAUGGUAGGGGCAGAGGGAAUUCCUGGUGUAGCGGUGAAAUGCGCAGAUAUUGGGAAGAACACCAGUGGCGAAGGCGGUUCUCUGGGACGGUACUGACGCUGAGACGCGAAAGCGUGGGGAGCGAACAGG